GUGUUCGCUUCGGCAGCACAUAUAUUGAAGUUGGAAUAAUACAGAGAAAAUUAGCAUGGCCCCUGCACAAGGAUGAUACACAAAUCAGUGAAGCAUUCCAUAUUUUU